AAGCAUCUUCGGAUGUGUAUAAAGUGGCGAACGGCUGAGUAACACGUGGGCAGCCUGCCCUUUGCACUGGGAUAGCCUCGGGAAACCGAGGUUAAUACCGGAUACUCCAUAUUUGUCGCAUGGCGAAUAUGGGAAAGCUCCGGCGGCAAAGGAUGGGCCCGCGGCCUGUUAGCUAGUUGGUGGGGUAGUGGCCUACCAAGGCAAUGAUGGGUAGCCGGGUUGAGAGACCGACCGGCCAGAUUGGGACUGAGACACGGCCCAGACUCCUACGGGAGGCAGCAGUGGGGAAUCUUGCACAAUGGGCGAAAGCCUGAUGCAGCGACGCCGCGUGCGGGAUGAAGGCCUUCGGGUUGUAAACCGCUUUCAGCAGGGACGAGGCCGCAAGGUGACGGUACC
rnacentral:rRNA from 1 species